rnacentral:rRNA from 1 species
AUUGAACGCUGGCGGCAUGCCUUACACAUGCAAGUCGAACGGCAGCACGGGAGCAAUCCUGGUGGCGAGUGGCGAACGGGUGAGUAAUAUAUCGGAACGUGCCCGGUCGUGGGGAUAACGUAGCGAAAGCUACGCUAAUACCGCAUACGAUCUACGGAUGAAAGCGGGGGAUCGCAAGACCUCGCGCGAUUGGAGCGGCCGAUAUCAGAUUAGGUAGUUGGUGAGGUAAAGGCUCACCAAGCCGACGAUCUGUAGCUGGUCUGAGAGGACGACCAGCCACACUGGGACUGAGACACGGCCCAGACUCCUACGGGAGGCAGCAGUGGGGAAUUUUGGACAAUGGGCGCAAGCCUGAUCCAGCAAUGCCGCGUGCAGGAUGAAGGCCUCGGUGUAACGUAGACUUUUGUUACGGUACGAAACGGU